CAGUGAGGACUGGACUUUUACCCAUUUGGGUUCCCUCCAAGGUAUCCUCUCACAAUGACACAGCACAGAGAGACCCAAAGACAGCAGGUGGACCCCUGCUCUGAGCCUCCAUUUUCCACAUGUACUCCAUUGGACCAAAGGGUCCUACCUCAUAGGAUGAUGGCCCUAUAUACCCUUGUCUUUCCCAGGAUGGCUUAGACUCUAAAGGUCCUGGUUCCUUCUUGGGUCACUCCUGCUGCUUACAGACCUAUGCCCUGUGGGUCUGGAUGCACCCAUAAUUGCCUUUCCUCUCUCCAGCAAGUUCUGAAAGCAUUAGAAAGAACCCAGGAGUCAUCCUCUGCCUGCUACAUAGCAAGACAUACACUCCAGAGACCUUCAGACUCAUCUCAUCUGGACCCACCCUGACAUGUGGAGACACCGAGGCCUAGAGAUCAGGAGAAUUGGAAAUAAAACCCCAGAAUCUGGGUA
ensembl:processed_transcript Gm20476 predicted gene 20476